rnacentral:rRNA from 1 species
UACGAGGGGGGCAAGCGUUGUUCGGAAUUACUGGGCGUAAAGGGCUCGUAGGCGGCCUUCUAAGUCGAACGUGAAAUCCCCGGGCUCAACCCGGGAACUGCGUCCGAUACUGGAAGGCUUGAAUCCGGGAGAGGGAUGCGGAAUUCCAGGUGUAGCGGUGAAAUGCGUAGAUAUCUGGAGGAACACCGGUGGCGAAGGCGGCAUCCUGGACCGGUAUUGACGCUGAGGCGCGAAAGCCAGGGGAGCAAACGGG